rnacentral:lncRNA from 1 species
UUUUUUGUUUUCAUGGCAUGGAUUUCAAGGCCUUCACAGGUAGAUGUAGUCUCUAACAAGGUUUAAUUUUUACCUUUUCUAAACCAGCUCCAAACUCGAGAGACGGAAAGAAUGGCAGUUGUUUGAAUAGGAAUCUGAAGCUGCACUAUCUGAGAGGAGUAACUGGCUUAAAUUUCAUUAGCCUGAAUGGAAGGAAGAUAAAGUGGCUGUUGAGUUAACAGAUGGACAAGUUGGAAAGAAAGGACGUAUUGCUGAUCUCAUCUUCUGCUCAGGUCACCUCGGAGAAGAAAACAAAAUGAUUGUCCCUUUUUAGAACUGAGGAAAGGCAGGCCUGCCAAGUGCUCAUUAACCAGAUCAACCAUCCAGUCUCCUGACUGGAGCAUCAAACUCUGGCUGCUGACCUUCUGGAGUUGCUGACGGGGAGAUCAGUGUUCUCAACAUUCCACUUAAUGCUGGAUAUUUAUGAUUUUUUAAUACAUGGAACUCCCUCAACAUAGCUGAAAAAAUCAAAAUGAUAAGAGAUG